rnacentral:rRNA from 1 species
CCUACGGGAGGCAGCAGUGGGGAAUAUUGCACAAUGGGGGAAACCCUGAUGCAGCGACGCCGCGUGAGCGAUGAAGUAUUUCGGUAUGUAAAGCUCUAUCAGCAGGGCAGAAAAUGACGGUACCCGACUAAGAAGCCCCGGCCAACGACGUGCCAGCAGCCGCGGUAAAACGUAGGGGGCAAGCGUUAUCCGGAUGUACCGGGUGUAAAGGGAGCGUAGACGGCGGGGCAAGCCAGAUGUGAAAGCCCUGGGCUCAACCACGGGACUGCAUUUGGAACUGGUCUGCUAGAGUGUCGGAGAGGUAGGCGGAAUUCCUAGUGUAGCGGUGAAAUGCGUAGAUAUUAGGAGGAACACCAGUGGCGAAGGCGGCCUGCUGGACGAUGACUGACGUUGAGGCUCGAAAGCGUGGGGAGCAAACAGGAUUAGAUACCCCAGUAGUC